rnacentral:hammerhead_ribozyme from 1 species
AUUCAGCUGACGAGUCCUAAAUAGGACGAAGCACAUGACCAGAAU